AUUAAUCACAUUAGAAACACGUUAAUGAAAAAAACUUGAAUUAGGAAAAGAGAUAGGGUUACGUGUUAUGGCCAUUGCAUCUGAAAAAGCUCUCUCCCUCUCUCAGUCCUCAACGAACCAGCGGCGGCGGCCAGAACCUCAUCUCCUCUCAUCAAUUUCUCCGAUCAAAUCGUCUCUCUCAGAGCCUCAUCUCUUGGUCUUGCUCUCACUCUCAUAUUCAACUCACCGCGCCGGUGAAUGCUUCACGGCGGCGGCGUCUCAGUUCACUCAUUGCACAAAUCUCUCGUCUCAAAAUGCUAAUCAAACUCUUCCGAUUUCACUCUAGAUCUCUAUGCUUCUCACAUCUCUCUGUCCUCGAUCUCAUCUCUCCAUCCGGCGAUUCUUUGAGUAUGACGAUAGUGAUAAGAAAACCAGAGAGGAUACUCUUCAUGAACUGCGUUGUUGUGUUGAUGAUGAUGUUGAAUGAUUACCGAUUGUUGCCGCGUUGAUGUUGUGGAAAUUGGUUGAAUCAAACAAUGAUCACGUGUUGAUGAAAGGGAAGAGUUGAAGAUCGAAACGAUUGCCGAAACGAAGUUGUGCGCGGAGAUUGAUAAAGAAGAGGUCGAUUGAAGAACAAAUGAACCGCUACUUUCGUUUUUCUCUUCUCUGUUUUGCAGAUUGGUGAAUCGAUUUUGGUGUAGAGAUGACAACUAGAGGUGAUGGCUCUUCACUAACAUUGGAGAUGAUGAUGAAGAAUCUGUUAGAGAUUGAAGAAAGUCUUGGAGAAAAGUUUGUUACGUUUUCGGUUAGAGGUUUCGUUACUCUCCAUUUUCUGUUCUGACUUUUUUUUCUGUUAUGCCUAUUGCCAGGGUGAUGGUAGCGUAUGAUUGAAGAAGAGAGGUUCAGGGAGGUUGAAGUUUUCUUCUGAGUUUCUUUGGUGGAGAAAUGAGAGGAUUCGGGAUGAAGCUCUUUGAGAAAUUGAAGUGUUGAAGGUUAUGGAGUCGUGAUGGUGAUGAAGAUUGUUGAUGCCGUGAUGAAGAAAAUGAAGACUCAGGAGAAGAUUCAGAAAGAGAAAGAGUUUGUUACGAUUUGGUUCUCAAUUUCUAAGUUCGGUUUUCUUAUGAUUUCGGACUGUUGUUGAUUGACUUGUUCGAACCGGUUCGGUUUAUCUGCAGGCUGGUUUAUUUUGUAGGUGGGGACUUUGGUGCAGGGUUGGAAUUUUGCAUAUAGAUUGUCUUUCUAUUUUUCUUUUAUGGUAUUUUUGUAAUGGACAUUUGUAAUGACCUUUGAAUGAUUAUGAAUCUUGCAAACAAUUUGAAUGAAUUUGAAUCUCGAAACAUGUGUGCUAAAACACAUGAAAGAACCUUCCAAGUUUAAACAAACUCUUAACAAAUUAUGAACUUAACACCUUUGAUACUACUUGAACGCCUUAGCAAACAUGAGUGAAUAUUCCAAAAUAAUCUUCAAUUUUCAAUGAACACUCCACGCUUAACGUUCAAACCAUAAGUGACUUGCAUUACGAGCAACAAGUAUUUGAACUCAUAAUAACACUUUAAUCACAAUGAUCCCGCAAACCAUAUUUUGCACCAUAAUAUCUUCACUUGCACAACAAGCAAUUAGAGGAAACCUUUGCACCGAAAUUGUCUUUAAAAACAACGAAAACUCUUCAUUAUUUUCUCAAUUUUUGAGAGACGAAAUAAACGUCUUUCAUAACUUAUAGCACAGAGAAAGAGGACAAAUUUU